AACCCCUGGCAAUGGACAGAGAGGCACCUUGUUAUUGGUGCUCUUAUAUCAGGCAGGAACAGAGCAGAUGGCAGUCCUUUGUUCAUCCUAGCUUGAUGCAUGGCUUGGUGACCAGAGCUAUUUUAUGUCUAAGACUCAUAA
rfam:Mus musculus chromosome 6 genomic contig, GRC reference assembly alternate locus group NOD/ShiLtJ.